GAUCACAACUUACGUUUUUGUUUUCAAUUAUAUAUAAAUUUAUCUGUAUUACAUGCAUUUUACAAAGGUGGGCAAUGCUACAAAAAAUUUUAUAAACAUU